GACACGGACCAGACUCCUACGGGAGGCAGCAGUAAGGAAUAUUGGUCAAUGGGCGCAAGCCUGAACCAGCCAUGCCGCGUGCAGGAAGACGGCCCUAUGGGUUGUAAACUGCUUUUGUCAGGGAAUAAAUGUAGGUACGUGUACUUACUUGAAGGUACCUGAAGAAUAAGCAUCGGCUAACUCCGUGCCAGCAGCCGCGGUAAUACGGAGGAUGCAAGCGUUAUCCGGAUUCAUUGGGUUUAAAGGGUGCGCAGGCGGAUUGGUAAGUCAGGGGUGAAAUCCCACAGCUCAACUGUGGAACUGCCUUUGAUACUGUCAGUCUAGAGUAUAGUUGAAGUUGGCGGAAUGUGUCAUGUAGCGGUGAAAUGCUUAGAUAUGACACAGAACACCGAUCGCGAAGGCAGCUAGCUAAGCUAUAACUGACGCUCAUGCACGAAAGCGUGGGGAUCAAACAGGAUUAGAUACCCUGGUAGUCCACGCUGUAAACGAUGAUUACUCGAUGUUGGCGAUACACAGUCAGCGUCUGAGCGAAAGCAAUAAGUAAUCCACCUGGGGAGUACGAUCGCAAGAUUGAAACUCAAAGGAAUUGACGGGGGCCCGCACAAGCGGAGGAGCAUGUGGUUUAAUUCGAUGAUACGCGAGGAACCUUACCUGGGCUCGAACGUAAGAUGACUGUAGGUGAAAGCUUACAUCUCUUCGGAGCAUUUUACGAGGUGCUGCAUGGUUGUCGUCAGCUCGUGCCGUGAGGUGUCGGGUUAAGUCCCAUAACGAGCGCAACCCCUACCUUUAGUUGCCAACAGGUCAUGCUGGGGACUCUAAAGGAACUGCCUACGCAAGUAGUGAGGAAGGCGGGGAUGACGUCAAAUCAGCACGGCCCUUACGUCCAGGGCUACACACGUGCUACAAUGGCCGAUACAGAGGGCAGCUACCUGGUGACAGGAUGCAAAUCUCCAAAGUCGGUCUCAGUUCGGAUCGGAGUCUGCAACUCGACUCCGUGAAGUUGGAUUCGCUAGUAAUCGCGCAUCAGCCAUGGCGCGGUGAAUA
rnacentral:rRNA from 1 species